CCCUUAGAUGUUCUGGGCCGCACGCGCGCUACACUGACGGAGGCAGCGAGCGUGUCCUUCGCCGGCAGGUGCGGGCAAUCUUGCGAGUCUCCGUCGUGCUGGGGAUAGAUGGUUGCAAUUGUCGAUCUUGAACGAGGAAUUCCUAGUAAGCGCGAGUCAUCAGCUCGCGCUGAUUACGUCCCUGCCCUUUGUACACACCGCCCGUCGCUACUACCGAUUGGAUGGUUUAGCGAGAGCCUUGGAUUGGAGCCCAGGUGGUCGGCAACGGCCGCUCGGGAUGCCGAGAAAUUGCUCCAGCUGACUCAUCUAGAGGAAGUAAAAGUCGUAACA
rnacentral:rRNA from 1 species